ACGAAAAAUAACGAUACGGGACUCAUCCGAGGCCCCGUAAUCGGAAUGAGUACACUCUAAACCCUUUAACGAGGAUCAAUUGGAGGGCAAGUCUGGUGCCAGCAGCCGCGGUAAUUCCAGCUCCAAUAGCGUAUAUUAAAGUUGUUGCGGUUAAAAAGCUCGUAGUCGAAUUUGUGUCCCGCGCCGCCGGUUCAUCGCUCGCGGUGUUAACUGGCGUGUCCGCGGGACGUCCUGCCGGUGGGCUUAGCCUUCGCGGGCGGCCCAAUCUCAAUCCCACCGCGGUGCUCUUCACUGAGUGUCGAGGUGGGCCGGCACGUUUACUUUGAACAAAUUAGAGUGCUUAAAGCAGGCUAAAACAUCGCCUGAAUACUGUGUGCAUGGAAUAAUGGAAUAGGACCUCGGUUCUAUUUUGUUGGUUUUCGGAACCCCGAGGUAAUGAUUAAUAGGAACGGAUGGGGGCAUUCGUAUUGCGACGUUAGAGGUGAAAUUCUUGGAUCGUCGCAAGACGGACAGAAGCGAAAGCAUUUGCCAAAAACGUUUUCAUUGAUCAAGAACGAAAGUUAGAGGUUCGAAGGCGAUCAGAUACCGCCCUAGUUCUAACCAUAAACGAUGCCAGCUAGCGAUCCGCCGACGUUCCUCCGAUGACUCGGCGGGCAGCUUCCGGGAAACCAAAGCUUUUGGGUUCUGGGGGAAGUAUGGUUGCAAAGCUGAAACUUAAAGGAAUUGACGGAAGGGCACCACCAGGAGUGGAGCCUGCGGCUUAAUUUGACUCAACACGGGAAACCUCACCAGGCCCGGACACCGGAAGGAUUGACAGAUUGAGAGC
rnacentral:rRNA from 1 species